rnacentral:rRNA from 1 species
AAACCUAAAGAAUUUGGCGGUGUUUUAGUCUAUUCAGAGGAAUUUGUCUCGUUAUCGAUAGUCCCCGUUUUAUCUUACUUAAUUUGGUUAAUCAGUUUGUAUACCGCCGUUAUAAGUUUAUUUUUUUAGAAUUUUAUAAUUUACUUUAUAAAUAAUUAUUUAUUAUUUCAGGUCAAGGUUCAGCUUAUAAUUAAGUGUUAUUGAUGAAUUACAAUUUUAUAUAAGAAAACGGAUUUUUAAUUUAAAAUUUUAAUGAAGGUGGAUUUGAUAGUAAUUUAUUUUAUAGAAUUUAAUUGAUUUUAGCUCUAAAAUAUGUACACAUCGCCCGUCGCUCUA